GAUGAACGCUGGCGGCGUGCCUAAUACAUGCAAGUCGAGCGAACAGACGAGGAGCUUGCUCCUCUGACGUUAGCGGCGGACGGGUGAGUAACACGUGGAUAACCUACCUAUAAGACUGGGAUAACUUCGGGGAACCGGAUCUAAUACCGGAGAAUAUAUUCAACCGCAUGGUUCAAUAGUGAAAGACGGUUUUGCUGUCACUUAUAGAUGGAUCCGCGCCGCAUUAGCUAGUUGGUAAGGGAACGGCUUACCAAGGCGACGAUGCUUAGCCGACCUGAGAGGCUGAUCGGCCACACUGGAACUGAGACACGGUCCAGACUCCUACGGGAGGCAGCAGUAGGGAAUCUUCCGCAAUGGGCGAAAGCCUGACGGAGCAACGCCGCGUGAGUGAUGAAGGUCUUCGGAUCGUAAAACUCUGUUAUUAGGGAAGAACAAAUGUGUAAGUAACUAUGCACGUCUUGACGGUACCUAAUCAGAAAGCCACGGCUAACUACGUG
rnacentral:rRNA from 1 species